rnacentral:lncRNA from 1 species
UGACAGAACCAACAGAUGUUAAAUCAAGUUCUUUUUUUUUUUUUUUUUUUUUUUAUUUUUAUUGAUCAUUCUUGGGUGUUUCUCGCAGAGGGGGAUUUGGCAGGGUCAUAGGACAAUAGUGGAGGGAAGGUCAGCAGAUAAACAAGUGAACAAAGGUCUCUGGUUUUCCUAGGCAGAGGACCCUGCGGCCUUCCGCAGCGUUUGUGUCCCUGGGUACUUAAGAUUAGGGAGUGGUGAUGACUCUCAACGAGCAUGCUGCCCUCAAGCAUCUGUUCAACAAAGCACAUCUUGCACCGCCCUUAAUCCAUCUAACCCUGAGUGGACACAGCACAUGUCUCAGAGAGCACAGGGUUGGGGAUAAGGUCACAGAUCAACAGGAUCCCAAGGCAGAAGAAUUUUUCUUAGUACAGAACAAAAUGAAAAGUCUCCCAUGUCUACUUCUAUCCACACAGACCCAGCAACCAUCCGAUUUCUCAAUUUUUUCCCCACCCUUCCCGCCUUUCUAUUCCACAAAACCGCCAUUGUCAUCAUGGCCCAUCCCCAAUGAGCCGCUGGGCACACCUCCCAGACGGGGUCGUGGCCGGGCAGAGGGGCUCCUCACUUCCCAGUAGGGGCGGCCCGGCAGAAGUGCCCCUCACCUCCCAGAUGGGGCGGCU